rnacentral:rRNA from 1 species
GUAAGGAUGGUAAGGGCGGACGGUGGAUCCCUCGGCAGCCGGAGGCGAUGAAGGGCGUGGCCAGCUGCGAUAAGCCCCGGGGAGCCGCUGAGCAGGCGAUGAUCCGGGGAUUCCCGAAUGGGGAAACCCACCGUACCGUUGAGGUACGGUAUCCGCCGCCGAAACACAAGUAGGCGGCGGAGGCGAACCCCGCGAAGGGAAACAUCCCAGUAGCGGGAGGAAAAGAAAUCAACACCCGUCUCCUUCGGGAGGCGGGCGCGUCCCCCAAAAGGGGACGUGGAGAUUCCCCUAGUAGCGGCGAGCGAACGGGGAACAGCCCAAACCUCACGGGUGUUAAAGCCCGCAGGCGUUGCCCGUGGGGGGUUGCGGGACGGCAACGGGGAGGGCUGCGGACCUCCCAGGGAGUUACAAAAGCCUUCUCUAGCCGAACGGCCUGCAAAGUCGCUGGAAAGGGCGGCCGGAGAGGGUGAAAGCCCCGUAGGCGAAAGGGAAGGCUCUCCCGGGUUGCCGCUCCCAAGUAGCGUCGGACACGUGAAAUCCGGCGUGAAUCUGGGGGGCCCACCCUCCAAGGCUAAAUACUCCCGGCUGACCGAUAGCGCACCAGUACCGUGAGGGAAAGGUGAAAAGAACCCCGGGAGGGGAGUGAAAUAGAACGUGAAACCGUCCGCUCACAGGCAGUAGGAGCCUGGAGGCCUUGGCCCUUCGGGGCCCUGGCUGAAGGGUGACUGCAUGCCUUUUGCAGUAUGAGCCGGCGAGUUAUGGUCCGUGGCGAGGCUAAGCGGGUCUCCCGCGGAGCCGUAGCGAAAGCGAGUCCGAACAGGGCGUCCAGUCACGGGCCAUAGACCCGAAGCCAGGCGAUCUACCCGUGGGCAGGGUGAAGGCGGGGUAAGACCCGCCGGAGGCCCGAACCCAUUGGACGUGCAAUUCCAUGGGAUGACCUGCGGGUAGCGGUGAAAUGCCAAUCGAGCCUGGUGAUAGCUGGCUCUCCCCGAAAUGGCUCUAGGGUCAGCCUCACGGCUCAGGCGGCCGGGGGUAGAGCACUGGAUGGGGAAGGGGGGAAACUCCCGACUCCAACCAAACUCCGAAUACCGGCCGUCGGUCCGUGGGAGUGAGUCCGUGGGGGAUAACCUCCACGGUCGAGAGGGGAACAACCCAGACCGCCGGCUAAGGCCCCCAAAUCCGGGCUAAGUGGGGAAGGCGGUGUGGCCGCUAAAACAGCUGGGAGGUUGGCUUAGAAGCAGCCAUCCUUUAAAGAGUGCGUAACAGCUCACCAGUCUAGCGGCCGCGCGCCGAAAAUGUAACGGGGCUAAGCCCGGUGCCGAAGCCGCGGGCUUCCGCGAGGGUUUCCUCGUGGGAGCGGUAGGGGAGCGUUCCCAGCGGGGCGAAGCCGCGUCGCGAGGCGCGGUGGACUGCUGGGAAGUGAGAAUGCCGGCAUGAGUAGCGAGAGGCGGGUGAGAAUCCCGCCCCCCGGAUGCCCAAGGUUUCCUGGGGAAGGCUCGUCCGCCCAGGGUUAGGCGGGACCUAAGGUGAACCCGAAAGGGGUAGCCGAUGGGCAGCCGGUUAAUAUUCCGGCCCCUCCGGGUCCGCGCUACGAGCGAAGGGGUGACGCCGCAGGACUAUCCCCGCGGGCUUACGGCUAUGCCCGUCCAAGCGUCAAGCCAGGGGGAGGAGGCAAAUCCCCUCCCCCGCUACGGCGAGGCGUGAUGGCGAGCCGCUUAACGCGGCGAAGGGGGAUGGGUUCAGCGGCCGAGAAAAGCCUCUAGCCAGUGGACCCGGAGCCCGUACCGCAAACCGACACAGGUGGGCGAGGGGAGUACCCACAGGGGGGCGAGAUAACCCCGGUCAAGGAACUCGGCAAAUUGCCCCCGUAACCUCGGGAGAAGGGGGGCCCUCGCCGUGGCCAGGGAUUCUCUUGGCUGCGGUUGGGGGCCGCAGAGAAUCGGCCCAGGCGACUGUUUACCAAAAACACAGGUCCCUGCUAACCCGUAAGGGGACGUAUAGGGGCUGAAACCUGGCCACUGCCGGUAGGUCAAGGGGAGGGGUGCAAGCCCCGAACCGAAGCCCCGGUGAAGGCCGGCCGUAACUAUAACGGUCCUAAGGUAGCGAAGUACCUUGUCGGGUAAGCCAAAGCUUGCCCCACCGCCCCGCGAGGGGCGGUGAAAAACCCGGCUCAUAUCGGGGGAGCCCUCCUGCCGAAAUGGCGUGGGGUAACCCCGAGGGAAGUCGGCUCCAUAUGGAGCUUGACCCCGUAACGACUGACCCGAAAGGGGAGGCGCGCUGUCCUCCCAGCGCGCAACACGCCGGGCCUCGCCCGCAAACGGGCGCCUAUGGAGUCCCCUUUCCCGCAGAGGGAGGUGGGAAAUGGAGAAGCUGGAUCCAUGGUACGUAACGGGCCUUGUAGAGGGGGAAGGCACCUUCGCCGUGAGCUUCACUUUGCGGAGGAAGCUUACGGUGGGGAUCGAGACGCGCCCCUCCUUCUCCAUUUCCCAGAACGAGGCCAAUCUCGAGCUCCUGAAGCGGGUGCAUGCCUAUUUCGGGUGCGGGGCGAUCCGCUACUCCCGCAGCGACCGCACCUACAAGUACGAGGUGCGGUCGGUGAGGGAUCUGACCAAGCGGAUCAUCCCCCAUUUCCGGCGCUAUCCGCUUCAGGGAGCCAAGGCGCGGGACUUCGAGAAGUUCGCGCGCAUUUGUGAGAUGGUCCAUCGGAAUCUGCACCUCAACCGCCGCCACUUGCGGGAGAUCAUUGAGAUCGCCUAUUCGAUGAACCCCGCGGGCAAGAGGCGGCACCGGAAGGGGGAUCUCCUAAGGGUGCUGGGCGAGGAUAAGGGAUAGUCUACCCCCCGUGGAAACACGGGAGAGGGUGAAGUUCCGACCUGCAUGAAAGGAACAACGACCUGGGCACUGUCUUGACCGGGGGCUCGGUGAACUUGAAGCGCCGGUGAAGAUGCCGGCGACCCGCGGUGGGACAGAAAGACCCCGUGGAGCUUUACUGCAGCCUGGUGUUGGGUCUUGGUCGUUGAUGUAGAGGAU